GACGAACGCUGGCGGCGUGCUUAACACAUGCAAGUCGAGCGGAAAGGCCACUUCGGUGGUACUCGAGCGGCGAACGGGUGAGUAACACGUGAGUAAUCUGCCCCUGGCUUCGGGAUAGCCACCGGAAACGGUGAUUAAUACCGGAUAUGACCACGUCUCGCAUGGGGUGUGGUGGAAAGUUUUUCGGCCAGGGAUGUGCUCGCGGCCUAUCAGCUUGAUGGUGAGGUAAUGGCUCACCAUGGCUUCGACGGGUAGCCGGCCUGAGAGGGUGACCGGUCACACUGGGACUGAGACACGGCCCAGACUCCUACGGGAGGCAGCAGUGGGGAAUAUUGGACAAUGGGCGGAAGCCUGACGCAGCGACGCAGCGUGAGGGACGAAGGCCUUCGGGUUGUAAACCUCUUUCAGCGGGGACGAAGCGAAAGUGACGGUACCCGCAGAAGAAGCACCGGCUAACUACGUGCCAGCCGCCGCAGUAAAAC
rnacentral:rRNA from 1 species